UGGGCUGUAGCUCAAUGGUAGAGCACUUGCCUAGCAUGUGUGAGGUCCUGGGUUUGAUCCUCAGCAUCACAU
rfam:Ictidomys tridecemlineatus contig081409, whole genome shotgun sequence.